rnacentral:rRNA from 1 species
UACGGGGGGAGCAAGCGUUGUUCGGAUUUACUGGGCGUAAAGGGCGCGUAGGCGGCCAGCACAAGUCAGUUGUGAAAUCUCCGGGCUUAACUCGGAACGGUCAAGUGAUACUGUCGGACUAGAGUACAGAAGGGGCAACUGGAAUUCUCGGUGUAGCGGUGAAAUGCGUAGAUAUCGAGAGGAACACCUGCGGCGAAGGCGGGUUGCUGGGCUGAUACUGACGCUGAGGCGCGAAAGCCAGGGGAGCGAACGGG